rnacentral:rRNA from 1 species
AACGAACGCUGGCGGCAGGCCUAACACAUGCAAGUCGAACGCCGUAGCAAUACGGAGUGGCAGACGGGUGAGUAACACGUGGGAACGUACCCUUCGGUUCGGAAUAACUCAGGGAAACUUGAGACUAAAACCGGAUACGUCCGAGAGGAGAAAGAUUCAUCGCCGAGGGAUCCGGCCCGCGUCUGAUUAGCUUGUUGGUGAGGUAACGGCUCACCAAGGCGACGAUCAGUAGCUGGUCNGAGAGGAUGAUCAGCCACAUUGGGACUGAGACACGGCCCAAACUCCGUACGGGAGGCAGCAGGUGGGGAAUAUUGGACAAGUGGGCGCAAGCCUGAUCCAGCCAUGCCGCGUGAGUGAUG